rnacentral:rRNA from 1 species
UACGUAGGGGGCAAGCGUUGUCCGGAUUCAUUGGGCGUAAAGAGCGUGUAGGCGGUCAGGUAGGUCGGUUGUGAAAACUGGAGGCUCAACCUUCAGAGGUCGACCGGAACCCCCUGGCUAGAGUCCGGGAGAGGAGAGUGGAAUUCCUGGUGUAGCGGUGAAAUGCGCAGAUAUCAGGAAGAACACCCGUGGCGAAAGCGGCUCUCUGGAACGGUACUGACGCUGAGACGCGAAAGCGUGGGGAGCGAACAGG